rnacentral:rRNA from 1 species
GACGAACGCUGGCGGCGUGCUUAACACAUGCAAGUCGAACGAUGAACCCGGAGCUUGCUCCGGCGGAUUAGUGGCGAACGGGUGAGUAACACGUGAGUAACCUGCCCUUGACUCUGGGAUAACUGCGGGAAACUGUAGCUAAUACCGGAUACGACCCUCGGCGGCAUCGCCAGGGGGUGGAAAGAAUUUCGGUCAAGGAUGGACUCGCGGCCUAUCAGCUAGUUGGGGGGGUAACGGCUCACCAAGGCGACGGCGGGUAGCCGGCCUGAGAGGGUGACCGGCCACACUGGGACUGAGACACGGCCCAGACUCCUACGGGAGGCAGCAGUGGGGAAUAUUGCACAAUGGGGGAAACCCUGAUGCAGCAACGCCGCGUGAGUGAUGACGGCCUUCGGGUUGUAAAGCUCUGUCUUUGGGGACGAUAAUGACGGUACCCAAGGAGGAAGUCACGGCUAACUACGUGCCAGCCGCCGCAGUAA